GGGGCUGUGGCGAAAUGGCAGACGCGAGUGACUUAAAAUCACCUGCUCGGAAGAGCGUGUGGGUUCGAGUCCCACCAGCCCUA
rnacentral:tRNA from 1 species